GAUGAACGCUGGCGGCGUGCCUAAUACAUGCAAGUCGAGCGAACGGACGAGAAGCUUGCUUCUCUGAUGUUAGCGGCGGACGGGUGAGUAACACGUGGAUAACCUACCUAUAAGACUGGGAUAACUUCGGGAAACCGGAGCUAAUACCGGAUAAUAUUUUGAACCGCAUGGUUCAAAAGUGAAAGACGGUCUUGCUGUCACUUAUAGAUGGAUCCGCGCUGCAUUAGCUAGUUGGUAAGGUAACGGCUUACCAAGGCAACGAUGCAUAGCCGACCUGAGAGGGUGGUCGGCCACACUAGGACUGAGACACGGUCCAGACUCCUACGGGAGGCAGCAGUAGGGAAUCUUCCGCAAUGGGCGAAAGCCUGACGGAGCAACGCCGCGUGAGUGAUGAAGGUCUUCGGAUCGUAAAACUCUGUUAUUAGGGAAGAACAUAUGUGUAAGUAACUGUGCACAUCUUGACGGUACCUAAUCAGAAAGCCACGGCUAACUACGUG
rnacentral:rRNA from 1 species